rnacentral:rRNA from 1 species
UACGUAGGGGGCGAGCGUUGUCCGGAUUCAUUGGGCGUAAAGAGCUCGUAGGCGGCUUGGCAAGUCGGGUGUGAAAACUCCAGGCUCAACCUGGAGAUGCCACCCGAUACUGCUAUGGCUUGAGUUCGGUAGGGGACCACGGAAUUCCUGGUGUAGCGGUGAAAUGCGCAGAUAUCAGGAGGAACACCGAUGGCGAAGGCAGGUCUCUGGGCAUUAACUGACGCUGAGGAGCGAAAGCAUGGGGAGCGAACAGG